rnacentral:rRNA from 1 species
AUUGAACGCUGGCGGCAGGCCUAACACAUGCAAGUCGAGCGAGCGGCGGACGGGUGAGUAAUGUAUGGGAAUCUGCCCGAUGGAGGGGGAUAACUACUGGAAACGGUGGCUAAUACCGCAUACUAUCGGAUGAACCCAUAUGGGAUUAGCUAGUAGGUGGGGUAAAGGCUCACCUAGGCGACGAUCCCUAGCUGGUCUGAGAGGAUGACCAGCCACACUGGAACUGAGACACGGCCCAGACUCCUACGGGAGGCAGCAGUGGGGAAUAUUGCGCAAUGGGGGCAAGCCUGACGCAGCCAUGCCGCGUGUAUGAAGAAGGCCUUCGGGUUGUAAAGUACUUUCGGUAGGGAGGCGUUACCUGCAGAAGAAGCACCGGCUAACUCCGUGCCAGCAGCCGCGGUAAUAC